rnacentral:rRNA from 1 species
UUCUACAACCAUUUUACCUUGGGCUGUGAUCUCAUCAGAUUUCACAAGCUAAGCAGCGUUUGAUCAGAUCUGUACUUAGAUAGGAGACCUCUAGGGAAAAUGAAGGUGCUUCAGGAA